rnacentral:misc_RNA from 1 species
AAUAAAAUGAGGUGUUGGAUAAUAAUUCAUUUUUUCCUCCUUUACAUUCGCUCGUCAUCUAAUAAUCUAGUUCUACAUGGUCUGGAUUCUAUCAGUAACUGUAAGAAUAUUCCAAUAGAAAAUGCCUUAAGGUACCCCUGCCCGAGAUUUGUAAUCCUGGGAGGAUCUGGAGUUGGGAAAUCAAGCCUUGCAAAUAUUCUGAUAGGACGGGACAAGGAAUACCGGAGUUCGGAUCCAAGAAGACAAUGUUUUAAUGUGGGACAUUACUCUAGUCCAGGAGCAGAGGUUGGAGGAAUCACGCGCCAUGUUUGUGCAGAGACAGGACCCUGGCUAGGAUAUGGACCUAAUGUAACUGUGGUGGACACCCCUGGAUUUGGCGAGGAGCUAGAGAAGGAGGAGGAGACGGUGGAUCUCAUUGUUAACUUCUUGAGAAACGACAUGCAGUUCGUCAACACCUUCAUCCUAGCAUUUAAGGAGACAGAUAAUAGAGUGACGAAAUCACUUCGAUUGAUGCUUCGAAACCUUCAAAAUAUUUUUGGAGAUGAGUUCUGGGACAACACUGUCAUUGAAGCAACACAUUACGCGUUCGACGAUCUAUCAAUUCGUCGACGAAAAAGCAAACACCUGGACGAAACCAGCUUUUCAGAGCACGUAAACAAUGGCCUACUUGGAAAUAUCAGCCCUAGACCACUACAGACAGUGUUUAUUGAUACAUAUUUUGAUGUUACCAACGAGACUUAUCCACGUCAGAAAUUCAGAGAGUAUACUGGUAAGCUGUAUACCAUGUCUGCCCUAUCUCGUCCCUUCCACUGUAAGGAUAUCAAGAAAGCAAAACUAGAAAACCGGAUCCUUAAGGAACAGGUUGAGGAGCUGCUCAUGGUGAGACAAAGAAUGGAAUUAGAUUUAUCUCUUCUCAGGAACAGUAAGGAAAGCCUGGAGUUGGUAAAUCAUGAUCUAAAUACGAAAAUGGAAGUCUAUGACGGGUCUGGAAUAACCCUGUCUACCACCACAAUCAUCAUAGUCAGCAUUAUCUUACUCAUUCUUGGUUUCGUGGUCGGGGGAUUCAUCACAACAUGCUACAGUGCAAGCUGCUCCCAGGAGGAAGACGACUUUCCCCCGUACAGAAGGAAGGAAGGAGUAGCCCAGGAUAAAUAUGAAGAGAGUGAUCAACAACAGCAAGCACAGUAUUACCAGAUGUACUAUGGAGUGGGUGAGGAGGAGGAGUGUCGAGUUGGAUCAACAUCUCCUCAAAAUACUAAUUUUUUCCCUUCACCUGUCAGUCAGUAUGACGGAGGUCUUUCGAGGCAAACAACAAGUUUUCUGUCCUCUCCCCAGAGUCAGUUUGUAGAAGUUGAAUUUGCCCAGGAACCAGACAAAAAUCUCAGUCUUGAUAGCGGAGACUCAGGGAUUGGUAUAAAGCACCUGUAGCUGAACCUACAAUCUUUCCGUCAACCUCACGUAGUCAAGUAUUAUUGACCGUACUCUGGUUGUGCGAUCCCGGGUAGAAUUAAUACUGUAAACGCACACAUGGGAAUUAUGUGAAUUAACAUCCUAAAGUAAAAUUGUUCCUGAGGUAGGAUUUAAAGAAUUUGAAACGCGCAACGAAACGACGAGCUCUAUAAAAACGAUCGUUUUGCAAAACGACCAUUUUUAAAAACGAACUUUUUUAGCAAAUAUUUCUAACACUGAGUGUUAGAAAUGGGCCAAGUGUUAGUUUUGGAACUAAUGUCCCCUGGAUUUGGAUCAGAAAUAAAACGGUUACAGCUUCAAGGAACCAUAAGAGGCCUGGCAACCAUUUAUAAAACAGCCCGGUCUAAUUUAUUAGUUAAUGAUUUUACAGCCCGUAUGGAUUAUUGUGAGUGUGAUAUUUGUUUAUAAC